UGCGGAUGGAAUAUUUGACUUGUUU
rnacentral:piRNA from 1 species